GAUUUCAGCUGAAAAGUCAUCAACAACAAAGUUUUAUAACUCAUCAAGAACUAUAACUUCUAUUUUGGUCAUUUCUUCAUCCGACAAAGUGGUAGUAAUAUUUUCACAAAAUUUACAUCUCUCUUAUAGUUUAUAAAACUAUAUAGGAGAUAUGUAUUUUUGUGAUUAAUCUCACAAACCACUUUGUCAGAUGAAGAAAUGACCAAAGUAAAAGUUAUAGAUCUUGAUGAGUUAUAGCACUUUGUUGUUGAUGACUUUUUCAAUUGAAAUC
rnacentral:pre_miRNA from 1 species